GGGGAGUGAUGAGGCGUUAUCGCUCGCAAUUAAAAUAUGCGAGAUGAGUGUCUGCCUAAAGCUUUACGACAAUCAGGCACCUCCAGUCUUAACCAUCUGAUCCC